GGAGACGUGGCCGAGUGGUCGAAGGCGCUCCCCUGCUAAGGGAGUAGACGGGUAACCGUCUCGAGGGUUCGAAUCCCUUCGUCUCCGCCA
rnacentral:tRNA from 2 species